UGCAAAUCUGAUCAACGUUUAUACAGCUACUUGUCUGUGAUGGCGAGUAAAUACCUCCAAAUAAUAGAUUUUGGGUUACGUUUUGCAGCUGAACACCAUGGAAUCAAGCGAGAUGAUCUACUCGGUUAAAUUGAUGAACUUACAGACUAACAUACUUCUGCAACGGUACUCCUUUUACUCCUCGCCAUCUAUCCGUCUAUGAUGGCGAGUAAAUACCUCCAAAUAAAAGAUUUUGGGUUACGUUUUGCAGCUGAACACCAUGGAAUCAAGCGAGAUGAUCUACUCGGUUAACUUGUUGAACUUACAGACUAACAACUUCUGCAACGAUACUCCUUUUACUCCUCGCCAUCCAUCUUGUAUGGUGUUGAAUUGAGAAGACCACGUUUUGGAGGCAACUGAGUCAUCUCAACUCUUCCAAAGAAAACCGUUUGAAGGUAUUUUUUCAUUACCCUCAUCUCUUUCUUGUACUUGGUUGAACAGCAGCAGUUGUAUAAUGUCAUACACCAUUCUAAACAGCUCGUGCAAGGCUCUCAGUAGGUUCAUCAGUGGUACAAUAACAGCUUCGUUGUUUGGAUCAGUCAUCUUGUUCAGUGCUGUAAUGAAGUGGCAUCAAAUACUGUUCGAUGAAGGUCUGGCGGUGUGUGCUGUCGUUAUUACAAUCAUAAUACUCCGCAGUACUGACCUUGUCGGUCGACAACAACGCUCUCGGUCGUUCCGUAUCGUUAAGUUCGGGAGAAUAUUUGCAUAACGACAUCUUCAAUGUCAUCGUGUUUAUGCAGAUAUUCUGCCGAGCCUGUCCCGAAGUUAACAUUGUUGAAUGUCCGAGAGCGUUGUUGUCGACCGAUGUUGAAUUAAUUAUUUCUAGCGGGGUGAGCUCUUUAGGUACACCUCACUUUAAAAAAUGUUUUCUCCAAAACUUGGAUAGGACAAGCUGUAAAAAUUUCAUUACCAUUUAGAUAAAGCUCUGGUCUAUUGAUGUAGGAAGUUUAAAGAAAAAACUUGGAGCCGUUUAGAAGAAAAAAACGAAAAUGUGAUUUUUAGCAAAACUCUCAUUUUUGAGGUUUACAACAACAAUUGGUAAAAAAACAUUUAUUCAA